ACGUAAGAAUUUGCCUUUAGGAGGGGACGAACAACUGGAAACGGUUGCUAAUACCCACUAUGCUUUCGAGUGAAAUGGAUAUUUCCGCCUAGAGAGAAGCUUGCGGCUGAUUAGCUUGUUGGUGGGGUAAUGGCCUACCAAGGCGACGAUCAGUAUCUGGUUUGAGAGGACGAUCAGACACACUGGAACUGAGACACGGUCCAGACUCCUACGGGAGGCAGCAGUGGGGAAUUUUCCGCAAUGGGCGAAAGCCUGACGGAGCAAUACCGCGUGAGGGAUGACGGCCUAUGGGUUGUAAAC
rnacentral:rRNA from 1 species